rnacentral:lncRNA from 1 species
AAACGGACUCUAAUAAAUCUACCACAUAGUGUAGCACAGAUUAUUAAAAUCGAUAUGUGAAAUAUUCGCACAAACAAUUAAAAACCACAUGUUUUCUAAUAGAGUACGGUUAUUCAUACAAACGAUUUAUGUGAAAAUAGAUAAUCAUCUAUCCCUAGAGGAAUAGUAUUAUUCUUUUUAAUAUGUACAAAAUUUUGCUCAACUCAAUAUUUAAAAUAGCACAAGAAAAUUCCAAAUAAACAAAUAAUAAAAAUAAUAAUAAUACAGCAAGAAGGAAAAAGGGGGAAAUGAAAGAAAGAAAGAAACUGGUGUUGCUGUGAUGCUUCUUCUGAUUGUGAUUGUUCUUGAACACAAAUGCUCUUUAUUUUACUUAUCUGAUUAAUUGAAAAGCUCUACUUUUUUAUUCUCUUUAGUUGAGGCAAACACCAUGCCGAGUUUCUCUUCCUCGUUAACGCCGCCGGGCGCUGCCACCACUUCCGUGGUUUCUUCCACCACUUCAUGGCCGCAACCACCAUUUUCACCGUCUUGCCAGAACGCCUCUUGAGAUCCAUUUUCACUUCUCAAAUUGAGUUUGCUUAGUUUUGGAUUUUCCCUAUAUUUUUAAGCUUUUUAAAAAGAGUAGGUAAUUCCAAAUUACGUAUUUUAGAAAUCUUAAAAAAUCAAAGGCCAACACGUAG